UGAUGCAACGUUUCCGAACGUGACAAGGGAAAUCGCUCGUUAUUCUCAUUAAUCCGAUCGCUCGUGGUCAAUCGAUCGUCGAUUCGUCACGCCGGCAACGAGUAGAUCGGUGACGAGUAGAGGAAAUCGACGCCGAAGACGCUACGUUGGACGCGAAACGUCCUCGUCAGGUCAUGCGGCGCGGAUUAAGGAAACACGCUGACGUCGGGUGCCCACCCUUGGUUUUCCGUUCUUGUAGGAGCAGAACCUCGGAGUCGACAUCGUGGAACGAAACGCCGGCCGAUCGUCGCGUUAACCGGGGAUACGGCGCCGGGGACAGCCGAUCGAUAUUCCUGGAGAUGGAAAGCGACGAGAAGAGGACAACACCCAUCGUCGCCGACUUACAAUAAAAUAAACGAACCGCAGCCGGUUCGUCGCGUCGCGCGUUUUUUUCCGGGAGUGCCGUUCAAGUAUUGGACUAAUGAACUUUUCAUAACUCCCAUUCGAUAGAAUCCUAAUUCGAGGGCCGGGAAUCGCACCCCCGCUGCUUGGCAGUGAAUAUUCUUACUGGGGCGUUGCGUAUGGUGGGCGUGCGCGCCGCACCGCGACGUUCCAUGCCGAGUGCCCGUGCACGAGGUAAUGCCGGGCCGGAUGUACGACAUGUUCGUGUGCAUGUUGCGCGGCUGUCUGGUUGUGUGAGUUUACACGCUCUGUCUUCGGCGAUCGGUUCGGUCCUAAGCGGUUAGAGUUCGGAUCGGUUGCCUUGGAUUCGCGCGUUUCUCUUGCUCUCGUCCGCCAUCCUAAGGCUUUCUUAGAUCCUUGAUACCCUUUUCGGAUUCUUUGGAUUUGGGGUUCGAGCCAGUGAAUCACGUUUAAUCUGACUUGGUCAGAACUUGGCCUUGUAGGUUAAGCUUGUGACGAGAGGCUGGCUCUCAUUUCCUGAUUCGUC
rnacentral:lncRNA from 13 species